rnacentral:rRNA from 1 species
CCUACGGGAGGCAGCAGUGGGGAAUAUUGGGCAAUGGGCGCAAGCCUGACCCAGCAACGCCGCGUGAAGGAAGAAGGCUUUCGGGUUGUAAACUUCUUUUCUCAGGGACGAAGCAAGUGACGGUACCUGAGGAAUAAGCCACGGCUAACUACGUGCCAGCAGCCGCGGUAAUACGUAGGUGGCAAGCGUUAUCCGGAUUUACUGGGUGUAAAGGGCGUGUAGGCGGGGACGCAAGUCAGAUGUGAAAACCAUGGGCUCAAACUGUGGCCUACAAUUGAAACUGUGUUUCGUGAGUACUGGAGAGGGAGACGGGAUUCCUAGUGUAGCGGUGAAAUGCGGAGAUAAUAGGAGGAACACCAGUGGCGAAGGCGGUCUGCUGGACAGCAACUGACGAUGAGGCGCGAAAGCGUGGGGAGGAAACAGGAUUAGAUACCCUAGUAGUC